GCACAAGCGGUGGAGCAUGUGGUUUAAUUCGAAGCGACGCGCAGAACCUUACCACCUUUUGACAUGCCUGGACCGCCCGAGAGAUCGGGUUUUCCCUUCGGGGACUGGGACACAGGUGCUGCAUGGCCGUCGUCAGCUCGUGUCGUGAGAUGUUGGGUUAAGUCCCGCAACGAGCGCAACCCUCGCCUUUAGUUGCCAUCAUUCAGUUGGGCACUCUAAAGGGACCGCCGGUGGUAAGCCGGAGGAAGGUGGGGAUGACGUCAAGUCCUCAUGGCCCUUACAAGGUGGGCUACACACGUGCUACAAUGGCGACUACAGAGGGCUGCAAACCCGCGAGGGGGAGCCAAUCCCUAAAAGUCGUCUCAGUUCGGAUUGCACUCUGCAACUCGAGUGCAUGAAGUCGGAAUCGCUAGUAAUCGCGGAUCAGCAUGCCGCGGUGAAUACGUUCCCGGGC
rnacentral:rRNA from 1 species